CACCAUUUUGUUUCUCAUUCUGCACAUUUUAUUUUCAUUCUAUUUAUCCUUGAUGCGGUCAUUAUCACUUGCAAACACUAUCAAAUAGCAAAAAAUGGUAAAUGCUAACUUUACAUGUAGUAUUCAUAACAGAAAACCUGAAAUCUGAUAAUCAUGGCAAAAUCCAGGCAAUUGAUGAAUAAAUUAAGAAGAAAAGAAACCAUUUCUUGAGAAAG
rnacentral:lncRNA from 1 species